rnacentral:rRNA from 1 species
GACGAACGCUGGCGGCGCGCUUAACACAUGCAAGUCGAGCGAGAACCGGUCCUUCGGGACCGGGGAAAGCGGCGAACGGGUGAGUAACACGUGGGUAAUCUGCCCUCGGUUUCGGGAUAGCCCGGGGAAACCCGGAUUAAUACCGUAUGGCCCUUUCGGUCUUCGGAUUGAAAGGAAAUGGUAGCUUCGGCCUCCGACCGAGGAUGAGCCCGCGGCGGAUUCGCUUGUCGGUGGGGUACCGGCCUACCAAGGCGACGAUCCGUAGCUGGUCUCCGAGGACGAUCAGCCACACUGGGACUGAGAAACGGCCCAGAAUCCUACUGGAGGCGGCAGUGGGGAAUCUUGCGCAAUGGGCGAAAGCCUGACGAAGCGACGCCGCGUGCGGGAAGGAGGCCUUCGGGUUGUAAACCGCUUUCAGGUGGGACGAAGCCACUCGGGUGAAUAGCCCAGAGGGUGACGGUACCUCCAGAAGAAGUCCCGGCUAACUACGUGCCAGCAGCCGCGGUAA